UACUGUGAUUGUUAGUAACAAAUUUAUGUUUUGCUUCAUUUCAGGUUGUCCAACAAAUUUUGGAACAAAACUGAGCACCAUUAAUUGUCAUUCUCGGAAUAAACCAACAACAUAAUUUAUCAAUGUGGCAAUAACAUUAAUGUUUGUAUUUCCCAGUCUUGAAAUACUUGGAUUGGAGAUGACAUCAUUAUAAUUGGAAAUUAUGUGCCAGCAGGUGGGACAGGGCAGGGACCUCCCAUCUGGACAGGGGAACCAUGGAGCAGCACCUCUGCAGAGCUUCCCCAGUGCAAGCAAGAACCAAACGAGAAUCUUGGACCCUCCCAACUUGGAUUUGGGGCAGGAGGAGGCGGGUGGGAGCUUUGAAGGUGCCAGCCCAGAGCUGGACUCGGGGAGGGACGCAGCAGCUCCAGGAAGCCAUUCAGCACCUCCUCCUUGGAUCCUCAAUUCACUGCAAGCUAUUG
rnacentral:lncRNA from 12 species